rnacentral:rRNA from 1 species
UGCCAGCCGCCGCGGUAAUACGGAGGGUGCAGGCGUUAAUCGGAAUUACUGGGCGUAAAGCGCGCGUAGGCGGCUUUGUAAGUCGGAUGUGAAAGCCCCGGGCUCAACCCGGGAAUUGCAUUCGAUACUGCAGAGCUAGAGUAUGGUAGAGGGAAGUGGAAUUUCCGGUGUAGCGGUGAAAUGCGUAGAUAUCGGAAGGAACACCAGUGGUGAAGGCGACUUCCUGGGCCAAUACUGACGCUGAGGUGCGAAAGCCAGGGGAGCGAACGGGAUUAGAUA